rnacentral:misc_RNA from 1 species
CCCUUUCACAAAGUGGCACCAGCUAUAGCCUCUCACUUGGAGUUGGAGACACCUUGCUCUAUCCAUCAAGUAGCACCACACUGCGCGCAGCUUCCACAAAAUGCCUACCUAUGCUUGCGUUCCCGGUCCCUUUCUCUUGACCCUCUUGAAUGCUUGGCAUCCUCUUCCCACUCUGCUGGUGGUGGGGGCGAGGCGGGCUCGUACCUCGAUGGCUUCCUCUUGAAAUGCCUUUCAUCAUCACUCGACUCGUAAUCCAUGGCAGCACUGCUAUUGCUCUUCUUGCCUCCCCCGCUAGCUGACACAGAUGUGGCCUUUACAGACGAAGAGUUAUAGUCAUCAUAAUAUCCAUUAGCUGUGGAUGAAGAUUUGUGAUGAUCAGAAGAUGCAGAGGAACCACCAGCUACGGCCACAGGAGCUUCCCCUGAGGAAGAGAGCUUGCGCUUCUUUUUGGCGAGCUCUUCUUCCGGAAAGCUAAUGCGACAGAAAACGCUUGCUUUCUGUUUGCGGUCUGCUAUUGCGGAUGAAGCUGGUUUAGCAGUCGUUUCAGAUGAAGCUUUUGCAGGGAGUUCAGAACGCUGGUGGUGGUGGUGGUGGCUAUGCUGAUGAUCACGUUCACCUCUGUCUCGUUCUCGGUCAUGAUCGUAGUCGUAGUAAUCGUGAUCGCGAUCUCUAUCACGGUCGCUUCUCUCGUGGUCGGAUUUUCUUUUGGAAGGGCGCGGAGGCAGUGGUGGUGGAGGUUCAAGAUCGCGGGCUGAGCGUUCAGGCGAGGACCUCUCAGGCAGACGGCGGUGGUGAGGAUGAGGAUCACCGCUUGAUGACUGCGGAAUAGACUUAGAUUUCAUUGAAGAAACAUCACCACCGCUGCUCACUUCCCUACCAAAUUCUCGAUCUCUAGGAAACUCCCUUUCAGCUCG